GACGAACGCUGGCGGCGUGCUUAACACAUGCAAGUCGAACGGAAAGGCCCUGCUUUUGUGGGGUGCUCGAGUGGCGAACGGGUGAGUAACACGUGAGUAACCUGCCCUUGACUUUGGGAUAACUUCAGGAAACUGGGGCUAAUACCGGAUAGGAGCUCCUGCUGCAUGGUGGGGGUUGGAAAGUUUCGGCGGUUGGGGAUGGACUCGCGGCUUAUCAGCUUGUUGGUGGGGUAGUGGCUUACCAAGGCUUUGACGGGUAGCCGGCCUGAGAGGGUGACCGGAGGCGGGGGGAGUGGGGUGCGGGCAGGGCUGGGGGGGGAGGCGGAGGCGGGGAGGGUUGGAGGCGGGGGGGAGGGGUGGGGCGGCGGGGGCGGGGGGGGGAUGGCGGCGUUGGGGUAGGACGCCGCAGGCGCGUCGGAGGGGGCGUGGGGGGGGGUGAGGGGAAAAGAAGAACCGGCUACGGACGUGGCAGCGGCCGGGGCGAUAAUCGGAGGAGCCCACGUCCGCGC
rnacentral:rRNA from 1 species